rnacentral:rRNA from 1 species
AUUGAACGCUGGCGGAAUGCUUACACAUGCAAGUCGAACGGUAGAGGGGGCAACCCCUCGAGAGUGGCGAACGGGUGAGUAAUAUAUCGGAACGUGCCCAGUCGUGGGGGAUAACGUAGCGAAAGUUACGCUAAUACCGCAUACGAUCUACGGAUGAAAGCGGGGGAUCGCAAGACCUCGCGCGAUUGGAGCGGCCGAUGUCGGAUUAGCUAGUUGGUAGGGUAAAGGCCUACCAAGGCGACGAUCCGUAGCGGGUCUGAGAGGAUGAUCCGCCACACUGGGACUGAGACACGGCCCAGACUCCUACGGGAGGCAGCAGUGGGGAAUUUUGGACAAUGGGCGAAAGCCUGAUCCAGCAAUGCCGCGUGCAGGAAGAAGGCCUUCGGGUUGUAAACUGCUUUUGUACGGAACGAAAAGGCUCUGGUUAAUACCUGGGGCUCAUGACGGUACCGUAAGAAUAAGCACCGGCUAACUACGUG